UGGGGAAUAUUGCACAAUGGAGGGAACUCUGAUGCAGCGACGCCGCGUGAACGAAGAAGGCUUUCGAGUCGUAAAGUUCUUUUAUAUGGGAAGAUAAUGACGGUACCAUAAGAAAAAGCCCCGGCUAACUACGUGCCAGCAGCCGCGGUAAUACGUAGGGGGCUAGCGUUGUCCGGAAUCACUGGGCGUAAAGGGUUCGCAGGCGGAAAUGCAAGUCAGGUGUAAAAGGCAGUAGCUUAACUACUGUAAGCAUUUGAAACUGCAUAUCUUGAGAAGAGUAGAGGUAAGUGGAAUUUUUAGUGUAGCGGUGAAAUGCGCAGAUAUUUGGAAGAACACCGGUGGCGAAGGCGGCCUUCUGGGCCACGACUGACGCUGAGGCGCGAAAGCUAGGGGAGCGAACAGG
rnacentral:rRNA from 1 species